GAGGAAAAGAAAAUAACAAUGAUUUCCCUAGUAACGGCGAGUGAAGAGGAAAGAGCUCAAAGUUGGAAACUGUUUGGCUUAGCUAAACCGUAUUGUAAACUGUAGAAACAUUUUCCUGGCACACCAGAUUAAUAAGUCCUUUGGAACAAGGCAUCAUGGAGGGUGAGAAUCCCGUCUUUGAUCUGAGUAGUUGUCUUUUGUGAUAUGUUUUCAAAGAGUCAGGUUGUUUGGGAAUGCAGCCUAAAUUGGGUGGUAAAUCUCACCUAAAGCUAAAUAUUUGCGAGAGACCGAUAGCGAACAAGUACCGUGAGGGAAAGAUGAAAAGAACUUUGAAAAGAGAGUUAAACAGUAUGUGAAAUUGUUAAAAGGGAACCGUUUGGAGCCAGACUGGUUUGACUGUAAUCAACCUAGAAUUCGUUUUGGGUGCACUUGCAGUCUAUACCUGCCAACAACAGUUUGAUUUGGAGGACAAAAUUAAUAGGAAUGUAGCCUCUCGAGGUGUUAUAGACUAUUAUCAUACUCUGGAUUGGACUGAGGAACGCAGCGAAUGCCUUUAGGCAAGAUUGCUGGGUGCUUUCGCUAAUAAAUGUUAGAAUUUCUGCUUCGGGUGGUGCUACAUGUUCUAAAGGAGGAACACAUCUAGUAUAUUUUUUAUUCGCUUAGGUUGUUGGCUUAAUGACUCUAAAUGACC
rnacentral:rRNA from 1 species